AAUGCGAAGUGUCAUUUUCACCGGACUUUUUGAACAACCUCUUAAAAGGGAAGUUGGUGCAAACCCAACGCGGUCCCGCCACUGUAAAUGGGAGCGAACUACAAAUACCACUAUACGUUAUGUAUGGGAAGGUGUAGUAAGCAAUGAUCAUGAGCCAGGAUACCUGCCUAAUUCAACGCACUAGU
rfam:Bacilli bacterium VT-13-104 contig020, whole genome shotgun sequence.